rnacentral:rRNA from 1 species
GCGCACAGCGCGGUAAUACGUAGGGUGCAAGCGUUAUCUGGAAUUAUUGGGCGUAAAGGGCUCGUAGGCGGUUCGUCGCGUCCGGUGUGAAAGUCCAUCGCUUAACGGUGGAUCCGCGCCGGGUACGGGCGGGCUUGAGUGCGGUAGGGGAGACUGGAAUUCCCGGUGUAACGGUGGAAUGUGUAGAUAUCGGGAAGAACACCAAUGGCGAAGGCAGGUCUCUGGGCCGUUACUGACGCUGAGGAGCGAAAGCGUGGGGAGCGAACAGGAUUAGAUACCCUGGUAGUCCACGCCGUAAACGGUGGAUGCUGGAUGUGGGGCCCGUUCCACGGGUUCCGUGUCGGAGCUAACGCGUUAAGCAUCCCGCCUGGGGAGUACGGCCGCAAGGCUAAAACUCAAAGAAAUUGACGGGGGCCCGCACAAGCGGCGGAGCAUGCGGAUUAAUUCGAUGCAACGCGAAGAACCUUACCUGGGCUUGACAUGUUCCCGACGACCCCAGAGAUGGGGUUUCCCUUCGGGGCGGGUUCACAGGUGGUGCAUGGUCGUCGUCAGCUCGUGUCGUGAGAUGUUGGGUUAAGUCCCGCAACGAGCGCAACCCUCGCCCCGUGUUGCCAGCGGAUUGUGCCGGGAACUCACGGGGGACCGCCGGGGUUAACUCGGAGGAAGGUGGGGAUGACGUCAGAUCAUCAUGCCCCUUACGUCCAGGGCUUCACGCAUGCUACAAUGGCCGGUACAACGGGAUGCGACAGCGCGAGCUGGAGCGGAUCCCUGAAAACCGGUCUCAGUUCGGAUCGCAGUCUGCAACUCGACUGCGUGAAGGCGGAGUCGCUAGUAAUCGCGAAUCAGCAACGUCGCGGGAAUGCGCCCCCCGCCCUCCU